AUACGGAGGGUGCAAGCGUUAAUCGGAAUUACUGGGCGUAAAGGGCGCGUAGGCGGUCUAUCAAGUCAGGUGUGAAAUCCCACGGCUCCACCGUGGAGGUGCAUCUGAAACUGAUAGACUUGAGUAUGGGAGAGGAAAGUGGAAUUCCCGGUGUAGAGGUGAAAUUCGUAGAUAUCAGGAGGAACACCAGUGGCGAAGGCGACUUUCUGGACCAAUACUGACGCUCAGGCGCGAAAGCGUGGGGAGCAAACAGGAUUAGAUACCCUAGUAGUCC
rnacentral:rRNA from 1 species